rnacentral:rRNA from 1 species
GAUGAACGCUGGCGGCGUGCCUAACACAUGCAAGUCGAACGGGGUUAAGUGAAAUUUUCGGAUGGAGCUUAACUUAGUGGCGGACGGGUGAGUAACGCGUGGAUAACCUGCCUCACACUGGGGGAUAGCAGCUGGAAACGGCUGGUAAUACCGCAUAAGACCACAGCACCGCAUGGUGCAGGGGUAAAAGAUUUAUCGGUGUGAGAUGGAUCCGCGUCUGAUUAGCCAGUUGGCGGGGUAACGGCCCACCAAAGCGACGAUCAGUAGCCGGCCUGAGAGGGUGAACGGCCACAUUGGGACUGAGACACGGCCCAAACUCCUACGGGAGGCAGCAGUGGGGAAUAUUGCACAAUGGGCGCAAGCCUGAUGCAGCAACGCCGCGUGAGUGAAGAAGUAUUCGGUAUGUAAAGCUCUAUCGGCAGGGAAGAAAGGCCCGAAAGGGAGAUGACGGUACCUGACUAAGAAGCCCCGGCUAACUACGUGCCAGCAGCCGCGGUAAA